UGGAGUCCACAGGGAGCAAGGCCCAACCAGCCCUGAGAGGCAACAGCCAAGGCUGCUAUUAAUUUCUGGCUGCAAUUUACAAAUGCCCCACUACUCUAAGAACCAUUGAAAUCACAGUUGGGAACCUCAAUAAUUUCACCAAGGCAGAAGCUAUUAAAUGCAAACAUUGGCAAAAGUUUUUAACGCUGCAGAAAAUCAUGAAAAAAUGCCAAGAGCCAAGACAAUCUGGAAGAAAGGAAAUAUCAACACCAGCCAACUCUCACCUUCCAUGGAAAAGGAGAAGAACACUCAACUCCACUCUCUUGAAACUUCCUUGUUCUACUUAGUGAAGGGGGAGAGGAACAAUUGAAAAGUUCUUGUGAAUUUAACAAUCUAAUGUCACAUGCGCAUGAAAACACUGAGACCUGAUAAUAAUAUGACUUCACUUCCUCCACAUCUUAACACCUUAUUACUAAAGGCUGAAAUAGAACUCUUUACCAUGACUACUGAUUAUGAGGCAGCCAUGUCUGACUACCAAGAAAAAUGUACAGGCAAAAAGCAUAGUUUUCUUUUUCAAUUUUGUUGAGAAAUAAUUGAUGCACACCAUAUACAUCAGUUUGAAGAACAGCUUGAUGGCUUGAUUUAUACACAUUGGGAAAUAAUUACCAUAAUAGGUUUAUCUAAUAUUCACCUUCUCUUAUAGAUACAAUAAAAAGAAAAUAAGA